rnacentral:misc_RNA from 2 species
AACGCACCUUGCGCCCCUUGGCUAUUCCGAGGGGCAUGCCUGUUUGAGUAUCAUGAACACCUCAACUCUCAUGGUUCGCCAUGAUGAGUUGGACUCUGGGGGUUUUGCUGGCCUGUGGUCGGCUCCUCUCAAAUUAAUCAGCCUCCCAGUGUUUGGUGGCAUCACGGGUGUGAUAAAUAUCUACGCUCGCUGUUGUCUGCCAGGUAACCUUUGGUCACAAAGGUUUGCUGGAGCUCACAGAUGUCUCUCCUCAGCGAGGACAGCUUUUUUAACGUUCGAUCUCAAAUCAGGUAGGACUACCCGCUGAACUUAA